CAGUAGCCGCGGGAAUACAGAGGGUGCGAGCGUUAAUCGGAUUUACUGGGCGUAAAGCGUGCGUAGGCGGCUUCUUAAGUCGGAUGUGAAAUCACUGAGCUUAACUUAGGAAUUGCAUUCGAUACUGGGAAGCUAGAGUAUGGGAGAGGAUGGUAGAAUUCCAGGUGUAGCGGUGAAAUGCGUAGAGAUCUGGAGGAAUACCGAUGGCGAAGGCAGCCAUCUGGCCUAAUACUGACGCUGAGGUACGAAAGCAUGGGGAGCAAACAGGAUUAGAUACCCGGGUAGUCCCUGUCUCUUAUAC
rnacentral:rRNA from 1 species